rnacentral:lncRNA from 1 species
AUGGGUUUGGAAUGGGAGGAAUUGUGGAAAUGCACUGAAAAAGCUCCCCGCGGCCAUCGGUGCGCAGAGCCUGAGCGAUCCACUUGUUGCUUACGGGCCGUACAGACAGCACGGGGAGCAAAAGGACGAAGUAACUCACACACCUCCCCUCCGCGCAGCCUCACAGAGGCAAAAAAAAACAAUCCACACCUGGCCAAAGUAACGCACACGGGGAAGCAGAGGCCGAGCCCUGCGCCAGGAGCAGGACGCGCCGCUCUCCUACCUGCUUUCGUACCCUGCCGCUACCCGCUGACAGCAGCACGGUCUCUAAAAAAGGAUGAAAAAAAUAAAAAAAAGGCAUCUUUGGACUCCCCAGUUCUGCAGAGGCAGUGCUCAGGGGGAGCACGCACACCUUCCACCCAAAGUGCUCUGAGUCUCCGCCCGUCCGUCCCAGAGGAGGAUAUAAGAAGUGUUUCGGUGACAUCCGGACGUCGGCGUGCACCACGCCGCCCUCCUGCACGCUCCACGCGGCGCAGCCUCCGCCUCCCCAGUUUCUGUCCGUCCGACGGGGGACUCGUCCGCAGCAAGCCACCGGCUGGAUGUCCUCCACGUGGGGCCGGGCCAUCAGGAGAGCUCCAAAACGCGGAAACACAGCCCUGGGGCCUCGGCCAGCCUUUAACGGAGGCUCUUCCCGACGCUCCUGCCGACAGCAAAGCCCCAGGAGGGCCUGAAAAGCUUCAGGGGGCUGAGGAUGCCUGCGCCUGGGGCUGAGCGCUCCCGGUGGAAGCUCGAUAAUCGGUGGAAGCAGAGAGAAGACGCUCGUGACGCUGUCUUAUGGUCCGUCCGCGGAUGCUCGUGAAACAGACCGAGGUGCGUAUUUCAAACUUAAUUUAUCAAAUAACUCGGGCACUGAGUAUCAGGCGUACAAGAGAAGUGUUAAUUACACAUAUUUUCCUAGGGACCUGCAGGAACUGCGGCAAGAAAAAGGCCGAAGGUAAAUCUGACAGCAGUACCUGCCCUCGACAUCAGCGGCAGCCCCUUUCUCCUGCCAGCACCUGACACCCUGUACGAAAGCACCGCAUUUUCGUGGCAGAAGGGAUGCCGGGGCGCCCCGCGGUCACUGCGCCCCGUCCUUCCUACGAGUUCCUUUCCCGGGCUGCUUCCCAGAUCGCAGGAGGGCUCAGCAAAACCCGUAAGGAAUCCCCGAAGCCUUCAGGAGACCGAGAGGCUGCGGAGAAUCUCAGCUGGAGCAGGUGGAAGCAGCAACGCCAACGCUCCCAGCGCGCACACGGCAGCAGAAGUUUGACCUGAAGCAGGAUUUGUGCUUCGGGCUGCCCCGGUGCUCCCAUCCCGAGCUCCUGCACUCACUUGCGCUUCUUUAUUUUCACUUAGGAGGCUGAAAUCUCCCGGGCUUGAGCCUGCCAGAGGGGACCGAGCUCUAUUAAGUCUGCAAAAGACGAUUCGGGCUCCUGGAGCUUCGCUCCGGGGCUCCGGGCGCUCCCCGGCACACCGAGGUCCCCCAUCCACGCCUCAA